CUGGACCUUGGCGCCCCUCCCACAGGCGGCGAGUUCAGUGUGGCUGGCCCCAGGGAGCUCGGAUAGGAAGCGAAAGGGGGCCGGGAUGCCAGGCACGGGGUCCAGAAGACAAGGCUCCCACAAUCCUCCGGCCAGCUCCCUCGCUAUCACAACCCUAAGAUCCGCCCCAGGGGACGGAGACCUCCCGUACAGAGCCCAGUGGGAACGGCGCCAGACCCCAUACCUGGGAGGAGGAGCUCAACCAGGGCGUGACCCCGGCACGCAAGGAGUAACAGCAGGUUUGAGGUCUGAGGGUGACAAGCUACCAAGACCCCAGAAAAGGUGCCGGUUCUGGUGGAGCCUCGGACUCCCCAGGACACAGACGCCGGGGUCCCACGGAGGCUAAAGCUGUCCAAGCCUGUGGCCGGGGUGCCCACAAGGACUCGGACGCAAGGAUCCCCGGAGCACCCAGACAGUACCUGGCACAGAAAAGACUCAACAAAGGUGCUACAAAUGAAUGAAUGAACAGGAAUGAAUGAAUGAAGAGGAAGAUGGAUACUACCUCUUGCACUGUCACCAGAGGAACAGGAAGAACACCUCAGGCUCGUAAAAAGUCAGAAAAUGCAGGACACAGGACAGCAGAGUAGCAAUGGUAUAUUUACCAAGUAAUUAUCAGCUAUCAUAAUGCUAAGCUAAGGGGCUGACUCACUCCUAAGCAAGAUCUGGGUUCCUCUGAAGUGGCAUCAACCUGCCAGAACCUCAACACAGGCUCCCCUGAAGGGCUGAGGUGUGGGUGUAAAGUCCCUGCACUCCCCAGAUGGAAAGGAGCCCAUCAGAGCCGAAGGAUAUGAGUCCAGAUCCUCCAGUUUCAGAAACACCUGGCUGUGCCCGAGGCGUGUAUGAAAGAGGCAGGUGCAGGGGCACCAUUCACUCAACCGGUAUUACUUUAAGUCCCUGUGCCCUCGGUUUCUUAUCAGUCUGAACAUACACGUACCAUACAGCCCUCCCACCCCGAGAUAUUUACCCAAGACGAUGAGAGCACAUGCAUGCAUAGGCUUAUACACAAAUGCUCAUAGCAGCUUCAUUCAUGGUAGCCAAAACCUGGGAAUAAUCAAAAUGUCCAUCAGCAGGAAAAGGGAUAAACAGAUUGCGAUUUACCUCCACAGUGGAAUACAAGUCGGCAAUGAAAAGGAGCAAACUACUGAUACAGGCACCAGCCCAGAGGAAAUUCAGAAGCAUUAGCUUUGAGGGGAGAAAACAAGCCAGACCACAAAAGACCACAUACUGUAGUGAUUCCAUUUCUAUGACAUUCUAGAAGAGCCCUAACUGGAAUGGCAUGAGCAGAUCCCUGGUGGCCAGGAUCAGGGGGUGGAAGGAGGGGAUUGCCUUGGGAGGGGCAUGAAGGAACUUUUCAGGGUGAUGGAAUGGGUCUAAAUUUGGGUUUUCGUGGUCACAAGCCUGUCCAACAGCCAUCCAAAUUCAUUGAAGGGUGCACUUAAAAUUGGUAAAUUGGUCAAUUUUCUGUAAAUUAUUCCUCAGUAAAGCUGAUAUGUGAAAAAGCCCUGCCCUCCUAGGGCUUACAUAGCAGCAGGGGAGGAAAGACAGGCAACAGGCAAAGUCAACGUAAAAUAGUGAGGAACCAGACGGUUCUAGGUGCCAAAGAACAACAGUGGGAAGCAAGGGAGGAGAGAGGGGCAUCUCAUUUCACAGGUGUGGCCAGAAGAGGCCUCCAUGAGAAAACCUGGCCCCCAAAGCUAAUUCAGUGAGUCUACAGGAAACCCAAGAUCCCCAGGUGAUGCGUUUGGGAAUGCAGAGCUGGUACAAAGGUCUCAUGUACAGAAGGGAAAAUUGAGGACCAGAAAGGGGCAAAGACUAAGUCAAGGUCAUAAAGGAGACCAGGGUGCGCCUCAGGUCUCUGCUGCAAGUCUGGAGCCUUCUCCCAUAUGGCCUCAGCCUUUCCUGCCUUGAGCCAUCUGUCUUCAGCUGCUAGAGCACAAGUUACAGCUGUUGUGGGAGAACCAGGAUGCAGAGAGGUCAAAUGCUGGCCUGGCUGAGAGGAUGGGGUUGUGUUGGCCACAGGGAAGGUCCUCCCUUCAUCCCCACCCAUGCUGUGACCCCCAAAGUUGCAAGCCACAGACACAACAGGUGAGAGGCUGCAGGAGAUGGGGGUCAUGUCUUAAUUACCACCCAUGCUAGACCCUGAGAUGUGUGUUGAUGCAGGAGGGGCAAGUUUUCUGAGACAGGCAGAGUUGAGGGCACCUGCUCAGCACUCCCCUCCCCACCGGGUCUAGUGUGUAUCAGCCUCCAGAAUCAUCUGGAUCAUGGUGGGUGCAGACAGGCCGCCAAAGCUGCUGCAGAGAAUGUUUCUUUUGGCCCACACAGGGCUUUAAAAUAAUUUAAAUUCAUUAUGACAAUUUAAAAGCUGGAGUUUACAUGUGAAAAUCUAUACUUUGAACUUCUCUAGAAAAAAAUUGGAAGAUUUGGAAUCCCCACACCUCCUAUGCGUUCAUUCAUUUAUUCAUUCACCAUUUACUGAGCAGCUACUAUAUGCCUGGCAUGGUUCUAACCAGGUGGGGCUACAUCACUGAACAAAAUAGACAAAGUUCUGUUCUAUUGGAGUUUAUGUUCUAUCAAGAGGAACAGAUGGUAAGCAAUAACUAUAACAUAUAUGUAAAUUAUACAAUACUUGAGAUGAUGAUAUAAGAGCCCCAUGAGGGGAAGUAGGGAUCUCAGGGGAGGGGAAGUUGUCAUUUUAAUUAUGAAUUAAUUUAAUCAGAUCUUGAACGCAUUUAACUUUCGAGAGUAGUGCAGUAAAAAUAUAAUGUAAACCACAUACAUAAGUCUAAGCAGCCACAUUUAAAAGAGUGAAAAGGAA